rnacentral:rRNA from 1 species
CACGUAGGGCGCAAGCGUUGUCCGGAAUUAUUGGGCGUAAAGAGCUCGUAGGCGGUCUGUUACGUCUGCUGUGAAAACCCUGGGCUUAACCCUGGGCUUGCAGUGGAUACGGGCAGACUAGAGGCAGGUAGGGGAGAAUGGAAUUCCCGGUGUAGCGGUGAAAUGCGCAGAUAUCAGGAGGAACACCGAUGGCGAAGGCAGGUCUCUGGGCCGAUACUGACGCUGAGGAGCGAAAGCGUGGGGAGCGAACAGG